rnacentral:rRNA from 1 species
AUAACGACUCUCGGCAACGGAUAUCUAGGCCCUCGCAUCGAUGAAGAACGUAGCGAAAUGCGAUACUUGGUGUGAAUUGCAGAAUCCCGUGAACCAUCGAGUUUUUGAACGCAAGUUGCGCCCGAAGCCAUUAGGCCGAGGGCACGUUUGCCUGGGCGUCACG